rnacentral:rRNA from 1 species
GACGAACGCCGGCGGCGUGCUUAACACAUGCAAGUCGAACGGAAAGGCCCUGCUUUUGUGGGGUGCUCGAGUGGCGAACGGGUGAGUAACACGUGAGUAACCUGCCCCUGACUUUGGGAUAACUUCAGGAAACUGGGGCUAAUACCGGAUAGGAGCUCCUGCUGCAUGGUGGGGGUUGGAAAGUUUCGGCGGUUGGGGAUGGACUCGCGGCUUAUCAGCUUGUUGGUGGGGUAGUGGCUUACCAAGGCUUUGACGGGUAGCCGGCCUGAGAGGGUGACCGGCCACAUUGGGACUGAGAUACGGCCCAGACUCCUACGGGAGGCAGCAGUGGGGAAUAUUGCACAAUGGGCGGAAGCCUGAUGCAGCAACGCCGCGUGCGGGAUGACGGCCUUCGGGUUGUAAACCGCUUUCGCCUGUGACGAAGCGUGAGUGACGGUAAUGGGUAAAGAAGCACCGGCUAACUACGUG